AGAUCAUCUAGCAACACAUGGCAGUUAGUGUGUUUACUAGUGUGUUUACUCCCAGUCAUGCACUCCAACUACUCACCUCUGCCACCUCUUUGCACUAGUCCAAGCUGAUUCAGUAGAAGAAAAAAAGACUUCUUAGCCGCUAACAGGAAACGCUCUUCCACAGUUAAAAAUUUAAUAGAGAAGAAGAGCCGACAGGUAUACAAGCACCUAGAAUUUAGAAUGCUGAAGUGUUCUCAGUGCACUGUCUGCAGAUGAAGAAGCAGCGUGUGCAUGUAGAGUUGCUCGUACCCAAAGGACAAGAACAGUCAGCUGUGAUGUGACUGGACUGAAUGAAGAAUGAGCAAAUGUAUGAAACUUUCUCUACAUGAAAAGAAUGUGGAAUUCUGUGUUUCUUUUGGAUGAAGAGGGGAGAGAACUCAUAAAGAAAGUGUGUGAAUUUUCCUGGGUAAUUUUUGUCUGUGUUUGUUGUUUUUUUUAAUCUUCAACAAACAGAAAAUCAAAAUCACUUUUCCUCAUUUUGGUUUUCAACUUCAUUCUUUCUGCUUAUUCAACAGUGUAGCAAAGGCAGUCAGAGACAGAAAAAGAUUUAAAUACCUGAAUAUUCAAACAUUUGAGGUUUUUUUUUUUUUUCCCAACAACUUUGAAUAUUAGGUUGGAAAUGUAUUAAACUUUUUAACCCAGGGGUCCAAAAACCCUACCUUUCAGAAGUUUAAAAAAAUCUGUUUGUUUUUUUUUUUCCCCACUAGAAAUAGAUAAUCAUUCAAUACAUUUAGG
ensembl:lncRNA